rnacentral:rRNA from 1 species
GAUGAACGCUGGCGGCGUGCCUAAUACAUGCAAGUCGAGCGAACGGACGAGAAGCUUGCUUCUCUGAUGUUAGCGGCGGACGGGUGAGUAACACGUGGAUAACCUACCUAUAAGACUGGGAUAACUUCGGGAAACCGGAGCUAGUACCGGAUAAUAUUUUGAACCGCAUGGUUCAAAAGUGAAAGACGGUCUUGCUGUCACUUAUAGAUGGAUCCGCGCUGCAUUAGCUAGUUGGUAAGGUAACGGCUUACCAAGGCAACGAUGCAUAGCCGACCUGAGAGGGUGAUCGGCCACACUGGGACUGAGACACGGGCCAGACUCCUACGGGAGGGAGCAGUAGGGAAUCUUCCGCAAUGGGCGAAAGCCUGACGGAGCAACGCCGCGUGAGUGAUGAAGGUCUUCGGAUCGUAAAACUCUGUUAUUAGGGAAGAACAUAUGUGUAAGUAACUGUGCGCAUCUUGACGGUACCUAAACAGAAAGCCACGGCUAACUACGUGC